GAGACACUGAAAAAGAGCUUUGACUCUGAAGGUAGAAGAAGUUGUUGAGGUAAGCAAGGAGCUUGCCAGGGUGAAGGAAGAGCUUCAUGUAGUACAAGGGGAUCUGCAAGUUUCCAGGGAAAAUCUUUCCAACAAGUUGAAAGAGGCAACAAACUUAAUGAUGGAAAAGGCUUCAAUGGAAGUAGAAAUGGCAAGUCUUAAAGACAAGAUUUCAUCUGUCACAGAAAUGGAAAAAUGUCUUAUUACUAAAGAAGCAGAAAUUGAAGAGCUGAGCAAUCUUGUGAAGGAGUCACGCACUGACUUAGCGACACUACGAGCAAAGUUCUCUCUUAAUCAGAAAAUUAGUAGGAAGAAAGAAGAGGAACUGAGGGAAUAUAUGAAGCAUAUUGAUGAUAUGAAAGAGGAGGCAAACCAAUUAAAGCAACAGGUUUGUAUUAAUUGUUAUUAUAU